rnacentral:rRNA from 1 species
GAUGAACGCUGGCGGCGUGCCUAAUACAUGCAAGUAGAACGCUGAAGGAGGAGCUUGCUCUUUCCGGAUGAGUUGCGAACGGGUGAGUAACGCGUAGGUAACCUGCCUGGUAGCGGGGGAUAACUAUUGGAAAUGAUAGCUAAUACCGCAUAACAGUAGAUAUUGCAUGAUAUUUGCUUGAAAGGGGCAAUUGCUCCACUACCAGAUGGACCUGCGUUGUAUUAGCUAGUUGGUGAGGUAACGGCUCACCAAGGCGACGAUACAUAGCCGACCUGAGAGGGUGAUCGGCCACACUGGGACUGAGACACGGCCCAGACUCCUACGGGAGGCAGCAGUAGGGAAUCUUCGGCAAUGGACGGAAGUCUGACCGAGCAACGCCGCGUGAGUGAAGAAGGUUUUCGGAUCGUAAAGCUCUGUUGUAAGAGAAGAACGAGUGUGAGAGUGGAAAGUUCACACUGUGACGGUAUCUUACCAGAAAGGGACGGCUAACUACGUG